rnacentral:lncRNA from 10 species
AUGCAAAUAAACAUAAGAGCAUUUAACUUAUAUGCAGAAUCACCAAAGUUACACAAUUCGUAUUUCAUAGUUUGUACAUGCAUAUGUAUUUUAUUCUUAACCAGAACAGUGGAGUCUGCACAAAACUAAGUCAAGUGUCUUUACUUCAUAUCUUGAUAUGAACACAUUCCACCAACACUCUCUUCCUUCAACUUACUGAUGAUAAUUAAGAAAAGACUGAAAGAAAAAGGAACUAUUGGUUGCCUUAUCUUUCCUUUUCUUUCUAUGUCAUCAUUUUCAGCAUACGCAGUUAGCUAAUUCAGGAAAGCAACAAGAGUUAGAAGGGAUAUGAUAACAUUCCUUGGUCAUUGGUGUUUCUUUGGCAACCAUUUCCUUCUUUCUAAGUUGAAGGCAAGUGCUGGAACCCCUUGGAGCUGUCAGCACCACUGCUUAUUCAGUGGUAGACUCAGUGGAAGACAAAACUUACCUUGUACUCGCUGUGAGCUCCCACACAUUAAGGGUCCACUAGAAUUCUGUGAUCAUGAGAUAUGAAUGCUAUAUGAAAAUGGCAUGUUAAGGAACAGCAGAGGAGAUGCAUAUUGUGUGUAUCUCCACUGUUCAUGCGCAUGCACCAUUGGACUUCAUUUACAGAACAUGAGUUCAAAGAUAAGAUGAUUAAGAAUUUUAAAACAGCAACAGCAAACAUUAAACCCCAAUUGUGGGGCCCUUCUGAACAAAGAUCACACACCCUGAAGCUGGUCCUAUGGGUGGAGAAUGGAGCAUGAACAUUUUGGCUCAGCUCAUCAUGAAGAAUGUCCAUGUGACUUUGGUUAAUAAAAUGUGAGUAAAGUUAUAUAUGUCUCUUCUGCACAGAAGCACUUAAGAGCUGGUGCAUAAUUAUUUAUCUCCUUUUCCUCCACCACAGUGACUAACAAUAUCCAGAUGGUGGGGUCUCCAUCAGACUAGGUUCCUGAGUGAGAAAAAUGUGAAACACAACCCCCCACCUUCCCACCUACCUGGAGUGGACAUGCAGUAAAAGCAGAAAAUAAACUUUUUUUGGUAAAGAUUAGGGGGUUAUUUGCUAUUGCCUAAAUUAGUACAGUGUUAUUACUGCUUUUGUUCUCAGGAAUGUAGCAUUUAAAAUAAUACCACAGCUUUAAAUUAUCCUUAGAAUAACCAUAAAACAUAUAUUUUAAAAAACAAAAUCUGUAACUUUUUUUCAAAGGCGACUCUGUUUUUCUUGAAAUAGUAGAAGCACCUUUGGUAAAUUUCGUGGGUGUUUGUGGAAUGUUGAAUCAUGAUUAAUUUUCAUUUGUGUGUUGUUUGAAGGGUAAAACACAAGGAUAAAGUUUUGAAGGUGGAACCGAAUUUUCCUUUGUACACAGGAAUCUCCACUGAUAUCCCAGAGUCACUGUAAUAUCCUAGAAUCUAUAAUUCAUGCUAUUGGGCAAGGCCUUUUCCUUUUAGCAAACCUGAUGAAUAGAAAGUAGAAUAAUUCUGCUGUUUAUUUUCCCUUGACUCAUUUCCAGUAGUGAAGUAGUUAGAAGUAUUUGUCUCAAAGAAGAUACAAGGAAAAACAAAAGACCUGGAUGACCUAGUCUAUUUACUAUACACACACACACACACACACACACACGUACACACACAAUACAUAUACAACUCUGUAUAACUGAAAUUCUCUCAAAGAAGUCACAAUAUAUGGUGAUUUCACAAUUCAUAUCAAACUCCUCCUCUUUCUCUGGUCUCUGGAAGGAAACAGACUUCAUCAAUGAAGAGGGCUAUUUAUAAGAAGGAAAGAAUAUGGAAAACUUGUUUGAAAAGCAGUCAUGAAGUCUGGCAUCAGAGAUAUUUGAUGGAUUCUUUUGUACUCAAAAUUAAUGCUCUGAGGAGAGGAAAAGCCAAUGAAUGCAAAGGUCUGAGCAUCAAAUAAACAAUUCUCAUGGUUGGUCUUGAUAUUUGAUGUCAGAUAACUUUCAA